rnacentral:rRNA from 1 species
AAGGAAGCACACUCAGGUCAUCGAUUAAGCCAUACAAGUGUUAGUUCAGGCAAGGAAACUGCGAAUAGCUCAUUAAUGCACUCAGAAUCUAAUUGGCGGCGAUCAUCAGAUUUCAGUUGGAUAGCAGCGGUAAUUCUGGUGCUCAUCCAUGCAUUCUAUUUCACCGGAUAUGAUUUACGGUGGAAAAGUUGACUGCAAGGCACUCCAUUUGAUUGAGCGACCUAUCAGCUUGUACUUAGGAUCUUUACCUAAAUAGGCUAUCACGGGCAACAGGCGGUUAACUUCGGACUGCCGGAGAAGGCGCCAGAGAGAUAGCGACUAUAUCCACGGAUAGCAGCAGGCGCGAAACUUACCCACUCGAGACUUUCGGAGGUGGUAAUGGCCAGUUCCAGGUUUGCCUCUUACGGGGCGAUUUGGAUAGGACGUGAGUUUUCCACGAGCGUGAAACCAAGCAGAAGGCCAGUCUGGUGCCAGCAACUGCGGUAAUUCCAGCUCUGUGAUUUUGCUCCCAUGUUGUUGCAGCUCAAACGCCCGUAGUCUGAAUUACUUGACUAUGCUCCCGUUUAGGAGCGCUCACUGUGAGCGAAUCAGGGGCAGAUCUAUUUCAUGGCGAGCGGUGGAAUGCUGUGACCAAUGAGAGAGAAACGAAGACGAAGGCAUCUACCCAGCGGGUUUCUGUCGAUCAAGGGCGAGACUAGGAAUAUCCAACCAGAUCAGAGACCCAGAUAGUUCCUACCUUCAACGAUGCCGACAAAGGCUUGUCAUUUAUUGAUGGCAGGACGUUAGGAGAAAUCAUAGUUCUUGGGCUCUGAGGGAACUACGACCGCAAGGCUGAAACUUGAAGGAAUUGACGAAAAAGCACACCAGGAAUAGAGCUUGUGGCUUAAUUUGAAUCAACACGGGGAAACUUACCAGGACCAGAUGUUUUGUAUGACUGACAGGCUACCGGUCUUUUCAAGAUUAGACUUUGUGUGGUGCAUGGCCGUUGGUGGUUCGUGGGUUGACCUGUCUAGCAUUGAUUCAGAUAACGAGCGAGAUUCUCACCAAUUAACUAGAAAUCUAUUGUUCCAUAGCAUUUGUUCUAAUUAGGACUCUCAAUGUCUAAAUAAGAGGAAGACGGUAGCAAUAACAGGUCUGUGCUGCUCUGGGCUGCACGCGCACUACAAUGUGAGGAUCAAAAAGUUGCAAAUUUGAAAGAAUGAGCUACUCUCUCAAUACCUAACGUCGCUGGGAUUGAUGGUUGUAAUCACCGUCAUGAACCAGGAAUCCCUUGUAAAUGCAUGUCAACAACGCGCGUUGAAUACGUCCCUGUCAUUUGUACACACCACCCGUCGCUCCUACCGAUGAAUGAUUCGGUGAUAUUACUGAACUUUUCGGAUGAAUGUAAUUAAAUCAAAUGAUUUAGAGGAAGGAGAAGUCGCAACAAGGUAACG